AGAACGAACGCUGGCGGCAUGCCUAAUACAUGCAAGUCGAACGAACUCUUCGGAGUUAGUGGCGCACGGGUGCGUAACGCGUGGGAAUCUGCCCCUUGGUUCGGAAUAACAGUUGGAAACGACUGCUAAUACCGGAUGAUGACGAAAGUCCAAAGAUUUAUCGCCAAGGGAUGAGCCCGCGUAGGAUUAGCUAGUUGGUGAGGUAAAGGCUCACCAAGGCAACGAUCCUUAGCUGGUCUGAGAGGAUGAUCAGCCACACUGGGACUGAGACACGGCCCAGACUCCGUACGGGAGCAGCAGUAGGGAAUAGUGGACAAUGGGACGAAAGCCUGAUCCAGGCAAGUGCCGCGUGAGUGAGUGAAGGUCCGUUAGGGUUAGUAAAGUCUUACCUUUUACCCGAGUAUAG
rnacentral:rRNA from 1 species